CGAAUUUUGUAGUAACAGUAGCAGCAGUAGGUGCUGUAGUUCUUCUUGCCAGAAGCGACGUUAAACAAUCCGCUGCAAUUUUCCGUCGCAAUGUUCGUCACAUUCGUAAUUGGCUCGAAGAAGAAUCUACUGCUGCCUCCAACGAUAAACUGAGAAGUAGAAGAGCAGAUGAAAUGAAGUACCAAGGACACUUACUUCUUCAGAUAAGAACACAUCAUGUCUGCUGAGAAGACGAAGCACAAGCUUGAGUCCGAGGUUUCUAAAAAGGAUAGUACUAAGGGAGAGAAGUAGUCGUUUUUAGCAUAUAAUUCUGCGGCGCAGGUUCAUCCUGAGGAUACUGUGAGUCUGUGAAGAGAUCAGAUUUCUAUCAUAAGUGUACAUGAAAAAGAUACUGUGCUUGACCACAUUUAAUAUGUCUUGAGUCCAUGAACAAGCUAGUUUUUAGGAGACAUAAAACGUAUUUUGCUUUUGACAUGAUGCAGAAGGAUGACAUAUAUGGCUUGCAUAUCAUAAUAGAUCUCCUGUCUCUCUAUCUUUGGGUUA